ensembl:lncRNA ZRANB2-DT ZRANB2 divergent transcript
AAGAGUAAAGUACUUCCGCUUCCUUAGGUGGAGCUGGAAAGGUGGAGGCGGAAGUGACUGAUCAAUUCAGGGGCGUGGGGUUCGUUUAGGUUUUGCCCUGUGUAUGACCUCGUUUGGAGCCAUGAAACCAGGUGGCUUUUCUACAAUAUAAAGAUGGAAAUGGGAAGAAGAUGUUCAUUGCAAAUUAAGAUAAAUAUCAAGGAGUGCAAUUCCUGGAUUUAUGAUGUCUGAGGAAUAGUCUUAGUGGAUUAUCCCAAACUUGACACAUUUUUUGCAAAAUGCUAUACAAAAAGAAGAUACAUGCGAUUAUGACAAGAUUCUCCACUUGGUGUGACCAGUCUCAUACAACCCAAGGCUGUGUGUCCAAAGGCAACUGUACUGCACAUGACAGAAUUGCUCUGUUGAAGUUUUGCAAGGUCAAAUGACUCACUUUGUCUAAUGGAACGGGAACGAACAAUUUUUUUGUGUCACGUUUGAACAGAUACCUUUGAGAAGUUUAUGAUUCUCCAAGUUCUCUUUCUCCUACUGUGGCACCUACUGACAAGAUAAAUGUGUAGAGGUUCCUGAGUCUAGGGGCACUGGAACCAGCUGACUGAUCUAUGGAAGUUCCCUUGGUCUCCAUUUGUUUAGAAAAGGUGAUGCAUCAGAAACCUUUCCUUACACUGUAUGAUAGAUGGGUGGUGGGAAACAAAAUCUACUUUUGCUCCAUUCUGAUACAUGAGAAGAGAGUAUGUUUAUAUUCUCUCAGUGAGAAUUCAGACCCAGGUAUCACUUAGACUUCCAUUCAAUAAAGUAAAAAGAAAUUAUAAAACAUAAAUAGGCAGAAAUAAAAUUAAAAGUAUACAUAUAAAAUAUUAUAUAAAACGUAAAUAUACAAUAAUUGGAUGUUCUAACACUGAAAAAUUAAAAGAUUAAAGAUGGGAUAAAGUUAACUAUGAAACAAUGGGACAGAAAAAAGUGAACCAUGAGAGAAAUUCAGAGCGAAAGUGAUAAAAUAAUUUUAAAAAUGUAUGUAUCUGAAUAUAUGUGUAGUUAAGAAAAACAGAGGGUAGUUUUAAAGGCUUUAGCACUUGUCUAAAAGAAAUUUCACCAGAAGAAAAUGGAAUAACAGGAAAGUAAUACCUGAUAAGAUAACAGUUGAGACUUUCCCAGAAUUAAACAUAUAAGUACUAAGAUUGAAAGUGCACAUUCAAUACCAGUCAGAAUAAAUGAAAUUAAAUACUUACAUAUUUUAUAACAUUGUAAUGAACUUGCAAAGAAGUAUAAGAAGAAGAUCUUAAAAGCUAACAGAAAUAGGGCAUGGAUUACCUAAAAGGGAACAACAAUUAGAAUGACAGCAAAUUUCUCAUUAGCAACUAGUGGAUGUCAGAAGAUAAUGAAAUUAUAGCUUCAAAGUACUGAGGGAAAAAUCAACCAGUGAACCUGUCAACCCAGAAUUCUACAUAUCAUAAAACAACUGGGAGUAAAAGAGUUAACACUAUACCUGCAACUUGAUCUUUUUUAUGGAGGCCAUCCAGGGAAAAUGAAUGACCCUCGGUGUACUUCCUUAUAACCAUGCCAAAGACCUUCAACAGACCUCUAUGCAGUAUAAAAAUAGUAUUUACUACAGAUAGGGAGUUUUUAUUGAGAACAUAUAUUUUGUAGGAUAUAUUUGUUGUAACUAGAUUUCUUAUUUUCAAUGAACCUGGACCUUAUGGAUGUACGGGGCAUGGCUUUUUGGAGAAUGGGGAGCAGUGGGUGGUAGUCAUCAAAAUAUUCCCUUAUCCCUGUAAUUAUAAGAGUAUAAAACAAAAGAGCUCCAAAUUCCUAAUGGCUUCCUUUGUGACUAGUGUGCAUAUAUUGCUUAAUACUAUUCUGUGUGUCAGAAAUGAAAACACAUCCGAAAGUAAGAAAAAAAAAUUUUGGAAGCUGCAUUUGGUCUUUAGUUCCUGCUGGAAAUAGAUGUCUUGCCUGAGCCUGCUGCUUGCCUGUACCUUUUGAAUCAUUAAUAAAGUUUGGCAC